rnacentral:rRNA from 1 species
CCUACGGGCGGCAGCAGUGGGGAAUAUUGGGCAAUGGGCGCAAGCCUGACCCAGCAACGCCGCGUGAAGGAAGAAGGCUUUCGGGUUGUAAACUUCUUUUCUUAGGGACGAAGAAAGCGACGGUACCUGAGGAAUAAGCCACGGCUAACUACGGGCCAGCAGCCGCGGUAAUACGUCGGUGGCAAGCGUUAUCCGGAUUUACUGGGUGUAAAGGGCGGGUAGGCGGGAAAGCAAGUCAGAUGUUAAAACCAUGGGCUCAACCUGUGGCCUGCAUUUUAAACUGUUUUUCUUGAGUGCUGGAGAGGCAGACGGAAUGCGUCGUGUAGCGGUGAAAUGCGUAGAUAUGAGGAGGAACACCAGUGGCGAAGGCGGUCUGCUGGACAGCAACUGACGCUGAGGCGCGAAAGCGUGGGGAGCAAACAGGAUUAGAUACCCGGGUAGUC